UACGUAGGGCGCAAGCGUUAUCCGGAAUUAUUGGGCGUAAAGAGCUCGUAGGCGGUUUGUCGCGUCUGCCGUGAAAGUCCGGGGCUCAACUCCGGAUCUGCGGUGGGUACGGGCAGACUAGAGUGAUGUAGGGGAGACUGGAAUUCCUGGUGUAGCGGUGAAAUGCGCAGAUAUCAGGAGGAACACCGGUGGCGAAGGCGGUUCUCUGGGCAGUACCUGACGCUGAGGAGCGAAAGUGUGGGGAGCGAACAGG
rnacentral:rRNA from 1 species